UAGAACAAGUUUGAAUGAUGUUAUGAUUGUUUGGUUGAAGCCCCGAGGGCCUCGGGUGAGUUUCGGAUGGUUAACGGGCCAAUUCUUGGUGUUAGAGAGUUGCGGAUUUGCUGGUUCUGUUUCAGAGGGAUUUUGUUCUUCGCGUUCGCGAAAUGAUGUUGAGAGGCGCAAGUGAGUUACUCUUCGCGUUCACAAAGUAUGUCCCGCGUUCGCGAAGAGGAAAGGCAGUUGAGGGCCCCCUAGGAAUUUGUGCAUCGCGUUCCCGUUCGCGAAGGCCUUGUCAGCUGAAGCUUCGCGUGAAGAGUGUCAAGUUCGCGUAAGAGGGAUUAUUGGGCAGUGAUUUUUGUGCUUUGCGAACGCGAGGUAGUGGCCGCGUUCGCGAAGAAGGAAGCGUCUGGGCAGAAACUUUAAGUUCAAAAACGAGGGUUUAGUCCAUAUUUUCAAAACUCAUUUGAGAGCUCGGGAAUAGGUGAAUUUGGAGAAUAUUUUCAAAGGAGUAAUUGGGGUAAGUGCUCUUCACUUGUCUUGGGUUAAAUUCCAUAAUCUAGUCUUGAUUCUUAUCAUUUAAUUUGAGAAUUUAAGGUAAAAAUUGGGGAAAAUGGAAGAAAAUUGGAGAAUUGAUUUUUCAGGAUUUGGAGGGUCAUUUGACGUCGAAUUUUGAUGAAUUUGAUAUGGGUAGACUUGUGACUGAAUGGUUUUCUAGUACUACUAUAUAUAAGAGAACAAGGGGGUACCAACACAGCUUUAAGGAAGUGUACAAAGAGUUACUUAUGUUGUACUGUAAAUGUGUUUGUACUUCUUGGCUAUUGAUUUCAUUGCCUUUUGUGGGCCUGACUAUUUAACACGUGUACUUAUUCUCGGUAAAACUCAAAAGUCGAAUCAGCAAACAUAGGUCUCCCUCUGCAAUUUCUUUCUCCUUCCCGGCGGUGGACUUCUCAGCCAGAAAGACAUCAAAAACCAUGGUUACUUCUUUCUACCUCCAACUUGCAUUGUUUGCUCACUCUUGAGUACUUACAGUUUGUUGACUGAGGUUCAUGGUGAUUACUCAGAAGAUGUUGACUUGAAAGUGGAUAGACUAGCAAAGAACGCUGCACCUGAUGCAAGUAAAUUUGUUGGAGCUUAAAUAAAUUUAGAUUUUGCAUGACCUAUUUUUUGAACUUGCUUGACUUAAAUAGCUUUUAUUUUAUUCAUUCAAUUAGUAAGUAGGUUAUGUUAUUUUCUUCUCAUUUUAUUGCUGUAGAAUUUAGGAACAAAACUACUAUAUAUAAGAAAAGUGGUGGAGCAUGUGGUUCUAAAUAGGACACAGGGAAUACAACUAAUACAUACAUUUGACUUGAAUUCAUUUGGAAUUGAGAUAGUGAUAUUGAUCGAUCAAUAAUCAUUUCGUAAGCAUAAGUCGAUAAAGACUACGAUCUUAAA